UAAAUACUUCCCUCGUCUGAAAAAGCUUGUCCCAAGCUUGUCCAUCAAAUGGUUGUAUCUAGCAUUAACUUGGUGCUAGAUAUAUCCAUUUAAGGGACAAACUUUUCCGAACGGAGGGAGUAUAGG
rnacentral:pre_miRNA from 1 species